CAAGCGUUGUCCGGAUUUACUGGGCGUAAAGAGCGCGCAGGCGGUCGUUCAAGUCGAGUGUGAAAGCCCCCGGCUCAACUGGGGAGGGUCACUCGAUACUGAUCGACUCGAAGGCAGAAGAGGGAAGCGGAAUUCCCGGUGUAGUGGUGAAAUGCGUAGAUAUCGGGAGGAACACCAGUGGCGAAGGCGGCUUUCUGGUCUGCUCUUGACGCUGAGGCGCGAAAGCUAGGGUAGCAAACGGG
rnacentral:rRNA from 1 species